rnacentral:rRNA from 1 species
UACGGAGGAUGCGAGCGUUAUCCGGAUUUAUUGGGUUUAAAGGGUGCGUAGGCGGUAUUUUAAGUUAGUGGUAAAACGUCGGGGCUUCACCUUGAUUGGCCAUUAAAACUGGAGUACUAGAGUACAGACGAGGUAGGCGGAAUAAGUUAAGUAGCGGUGAAAUGCUUAGAUAUAACUGAGAACCCCGAUAGCGAAGGCAGCUUACCAGACUGUUACUGACGCUGAAGCACGAGAGCGUGGGUAGCGAACAGG